rnacentral:misc_RNA from 1 species
ACAAACUUGGUCAUUUAGAGGAAGUAAAAGUCGUAACAAGGUUUCCGUAGGUGAACCUGCGGAAGGAUCAUUAUUAUAUGAAUGCGCCAACGGCUCUCGGGUCGGCGGCGUACCUCUCACGAGGCCAUCCUUUGUCUAUGAGUACCCUCUUUUCCUCAGCGGGCUUGCUCGCUGCAGGACCUUUUGAAUAAACCUUUUUAUAAUAACUUGUCUGAAGUAAAAAGUAAUUAAUUACAACUUUCAACAAUGGAUCUCUUGGCUCUGGCAUCAAUGAAGAACGCAGC